rnacentral:rRNA from 1 species
UCCGUAGGUGGCAAUCGUUGUCCGGAAUUACUGGGCGUAAAGGGCGUGUAGGCGGGGCGGCAAGUCAGAUGUGAAAUCCCAUGGCUUAACUGUGGAGCUGCAUCUGAAACUGUCGUUCUUGAGUGUCGGAGAGGAAAGUGGAAUUCCCAGUGUAGCGGUGAAAUGCGUAGAGAUUGGGAGGAACACCAGUGGCGAAGGCGGCUUUCUGGACGAUAACUGACGCUGAGGCGCGAAAGCGUGGGGAGAAAACAGG